rnacentral:rRNA from 1 species
GUAGUACUAGGAUGGGUGACCUCCUGGGAAGUCCUCGUGUUGCACCUUU